rnacentral:misc_RNA from 1 species
CUUCAAAGCCUCACUCAUGGUCGGGUGUGCAUGGCAAGUGCGGGCAAUGUCCUCGCUGGCAGCCCCAUACUGCAACGCCAGCACAGCUUCAUGUAUCAGCUCCCCCGCAUUGGGGGACAUUAUAUGAACUCCCAAUACCUUGUCCGUCUCUUUAUCAGCUAUUAUCUUCACAAUUCCCUCAGCAUCAUCAAUAGCCUUAGCACGGCUAUUGGCCAUGAAAGGGAAUUUGCCUACCCGAUACGCUACACCAGUCGCCUUCACCUGCUCCUCCGUCAUCCCCACUGAUGCCACUUCGGGAUGUGUGUAUACCACACCCGGCACUUUGUCAUAGUCGACAUGGCCCUCCUUGCCUGCAAUAAACUCCACACACGCGAAACCA